AAGUCGUAACAAGGUUUCCGUAGGUGAACCUGCGGAAGGAUCAUUAUCGUAGGGCUUCGGCCCUGUCGAGAUAGAACCCUUGCCUAUAUGAGUACCGUCCGUUUCCUCGGCAGGUCCGCCUGCCGAUGGACCCAAAACCAAACCCUUUUAUUACCUGUAUCAGUCUGAAAAAUAAACAAAAAAUUAAAA
rnacentral:misc_RNA from 1 species